rnacentral:rRNA from 1 species
UGUUUGCACCAUACCACCCUGAACCCGCCCGAUCUCAUCUGAUCUCGGAAGCUAAGCAGGAUCGGGCCUGUUAGUACUUGGAUGGGAGGAACAGAUUUCUUGAGAGCAGUGUGCCUUUGAAAAAU